UACAGAGGUCUCAAGCGUUGUUCGGAUUCAUUGGGCGUAAAGGGUGCGUAGGCGGCGCGGUAAGUCGGGUGUGAAAUUUCGAGGCUUAGCUUCGAAACUGCAUUCGAUACUGCCGUGCUAGAGGACUGGAGAGGAGACUGGAAUUUACGGUGUAGCGGUGAAAUGCGUAGAUAUCGUAAGGAAGACCAGUGGCGAAGGCGGGUCUCUGGACCAAUACUGACGAUCAGGUGCGAAAGCGUGGGGAGCAAACAGG
rnacentral:rRNA from 1 species